GCCCCUAUAGCUCAGUGGUAGAGGUAUGUUGUGUCCCGUUCAUUCUCCUCUUAUGAUCGAGAAGCUAAUACGAUACACAGCGUUUCACUCGUAAUUGCGGGAAUUCUCUGGUACAUUAUAGAUGUAUCGAGUAUAUCGCAUAUAAGCGACAUGAAGAGGUCCAUCGUUCAAUCCGGUGUGGGGGCA